UUGUGGUGUGACUGCGUACCUUUUGUAUAAUGGGUCAGCGACUUAUAUUCUGUAGCAAGGUUAACCGUAUAGGGGAGCCGAAGGGAAACCGAGUCUUAACUGGGCGUUAAGUUGCAGGGUAUAGACCCGAAACCCGGUGAUCUAGCCAUGGGCAGGUUGAAGGUUGGGUAACACUAACUGGAGGACCGAACCGACUAAUGUUGAAAAAUUAGCGGAUGACUUGUGGCUGGGGGUGAAAGGCCAAUCAAACCGGGAGAUAGCUGGUUCUCCCCGAAAGCUAUUUAGGUAGCGCCUCGUGAACUCAUCUUCGGGGGUAGAGCACUGUUUCGGCUAGGGGGCCAUCCCGGCUUACCAACCCGAUGCAAACUACGAAUACCGAAGAAUGUUAUCACGGGAGACACACGGCGGGUGCUAACGUCCGUCGUGAAGAGGGAAACAACCCAGACCGCCAGCUAAGGUCCCAAAGUCAUGGUUAAGUGGGAAACGAUGUGGGAAGGCACAGACAGCCAGGAUGUUGGCUUAGAAGCAGCCAUCAUUUAAAGAAAGCGUAAUAGCUCACUGGUCGAGUCGGCCUGCGCGGAAGAUGUAACGGGGCUAAACCAUGCACCG
rnacentral:rRNA from 1 species